ACCGCAACACGUGCUCUCAUUUAUUGGAGAACACGCUUUUUAGAGAUAGGAAUUCACUGAAAUUUCAGUCUCUCUUCCCUGAUAAGGCCCACAUGCCUAUGCUACUCCUACAAUAUCAUUUUCAGGUUGUUCCUAGAGAUCUUCCUCUUCUGGGAAAAUGUGUUGUGUCAAUUGUGAGUGAAAGGAUCUGUGAAGAUUCUGAGUUAUUCUCUGCCAUGUUGGAAUCUUGCAAAAAUUCUCCACUGUUCAGAGUUCAUUAGAUGGUAGUUACUGUGCUCACAUUACAGUGUGGGAAAAGGUCAUAUGCCUGUUAGAGUACAGUAACCAUAAUUACUCCAGAAUCAUUAUAUGGUGGGAUUUGCAGGACAGGGUUUCAAUUUGCCUGCUGUACUUGUGCCAAGAAAUGUAGAGGGAAUUGUGAUUCACAUGAAAGGAUUUUUUUUUUUUAAGGGGGAGAGGCUGCUCUUUCAAGUCACUCCCCCCACCCUUGUAACUUCUUGUUCUGUAAUUAAGCUGGAUCAUUUAUAAGAAUUCUGCAAAUGGCUUUUAUCUUUUGUAAUCAAUCAUUAACACUUGGAGGCAGCGACGCUUCUGAAUACCACUAGCUGGAAACCACAGGAGGGGCGUGUGCUCUUGCACUCAUGUCCUGCUUGCGGGUUUCCCACAAGCAUCUGCCUUGCCACUGUGAGAGCAGAAUGCUGGACUAGAUGGGCCAUUUGCCUGGUCCUUAGUGUGUCUCCAUGGAGGAACCAGAGAUACUGGUUUGAAAUCCAUGUCCCCUGCCACUUAGAUGGUGACACAGGAAACAGUUCUGUCCAUUCUUUGAGUCUUGAGAAGGCAGAUGAGUUUAAAUCAUGAUUUCUUCCUUCAUUGUCAGAUCUUUGAGCUCGUGUCCAUAGCAGACUGACUGAGGAUUCACUUUGAGCUUAACAUGAAGUAAAGACAUCUAUGAGAGUUCAAUUUAUAAAAAUGCAAAUUUUUUUAGCCUGGAUUUAUUUUUCUAAAAGGAUUGCAAAUCCUAGAUGUCAAAUUAUGCACUAGGCAUUUAAAUAGUUCAAACCGGAAAGCUUUUCGUAAUCUUGAGAACAAAAGCUGCGCAUUAAAUUUAGUACUUCAGAAGUUCAGCAGCAUUACUUUUAAAUGUUUAGCAUGAAUUUCUUAUAAAAAGCUAAUGUCCAAUCUCUUAUUGUGUGCAUGGGUGUAUCCAUAGCACAUUAAUUAGCACAAGCAGUUUGUGAUCUGUAUACAGAGAACUAGGGAUGGAUCCAAAACCUAAUCUAGGAUAUGUGUUUUAGUUGAACUUUUUUUUGACAUAAGAGCUACAAGGUGCCCAAUUCAAUGCUCUAUUAGGCCAAAUAUCUUUGCCCAUAUAUUCAAAUGAACCACAGAGGUUAUUAACUUGCCCUUGGCAAAAAGAUUUAGUUUUCUAGGGCAAAUGCUUUUAUAAAUUCUACAUGUGACAGUUUUAUUACAUAUUGUAAAUAGAAUAGCUUGCCAGAUUUUUAUGACAGCCAUCACUAAGUCAUUCAGACCUUAUUACUUUUCAACCCUUCAUGUACCUUGAAUGUUCUUUUAAAAAAGAAAGUGGGGUGGGGGGAGAGACAUUUUUAGCAUGUUUGAUUUUUUAACGUUGCAGUUUUUGCAUAUUGGAGGGUAGUUAUGCUUGCAUGCAUGAUUAUUUAGAUAGUUUUAGAUUAUAGUCGACUCAUACAUCUUUUUGCUAAAAGGCUACACGAUAAUGAUGCAGACAGACAUUAAUUUACGUGUUCUACAUUUAUAGCCAUGGACUCAUUUAAGCUUGUACAGUUACUGAUAGUAUUUAUUUUAAUGGUGUCUGUACCCAGCUGCAUACCUCUGCUGAGUCUUCCAAGCUGUAACCAGUGGGUGUUCUUGUACCUAUUGCAGUUGGUGGUUUAACUUCAGUGGUUCAUAUUUCAUAAUAAUGUACAGGUUUUAUUACACUAAAAAGAAGGGCUUGCCCAGUUUUCAUAUUAACCAUCAUAGAGCCAUAUAUCAACUAGAUGUUUAUUCCAGGUUGUUUUUUCCCUGUCUUUCUUCCAUGUUUACUCUCAGAUAUCUAAAAGUUAAAUUUUUAAAAUGCAUCACCAUUUAAUUUUGCAUUGAAUUAACCUUUUCAUUUUUUUAUCAAAACAUGUUACAUUAUGCCUGCUAUGCUCCGUGCCUUUCACACCUGAAAGUGAAAGAUACCAGCAAGCUUUCCAGCAGCAGCCAAAAUUCUGCUCACAUUGCUAAUAUUAUUUUUAUUAUCCAUGUUCCUCUAGAAGUUACUAACAAAGAUUAAAAUAGUCCUGACAGGUUUUCAAAUACACCUUGUAUGAUGUGCACUAUUUACGGUACUUUUCUGAACAACUCAUGAUGUGAUAUAUGAGAUAAAACCUAGAAUGGUUUGAAAUGAACCCUGGGCUGAAUCUUUUGCAAUGCAUUUUGAUUCUAAGUAAAACUGACCUGCAUUAUUUUCAUAAAAAGCUUAUACCAAGUCAGACCAUUGGUCCUCUAGCUCAGCCUUUGCCAACCUGGUGGCCUUCAAAUCCUGUCAGUCUCAGCCAGCCCCCACUUGGUAGAGGCAGCUCCAGGCCAAUACUGUAUAUAACUUAAAUUGUAUUGUUUUACUACUUGGUUGGAAUGAAUGAAUUUUAUUAUCUACAGUGAUUGUUAGUAGUGCUCUGGCAUUUCAGACAGGGAUCUUUCCUAGUACUACCUGGGAUCUUCUGCAUGCAAAGCAUGUGGUCUACCACUGAGCCACACUUCUACUCCAUGUUACUUUCUGUAACAUGGACUUGUUUCCACUGAAGUGGCAUGCAUAUAAAUAAUGUGAUGCAGGAACAGAGCCAGUCAAGUUGGAACCUCAUCUUGGUGGGCUGCCAAAUCAUGGCAAAUACCUGUGUAAUCACCCAUGUAAUCUCAUUACACACCACAUGGAAGUGGUAAUCCCUUGGGUCUUAUUCUGAUCAGAGGUAGCUCCUGUGAAGCACUUUCUUACUUGUUUAUUUAUUAUGACAUUUAUAUAGCACCCAAUAGAGGUGCUAUAUAAAUAGAGGCUAAAAUCAAUUAAAUACAAAAAUAAGACCAUAAACAUGUAAAAUCGAAUGCAGCAUAACACUAAUACAUCAUAAAUUCUAUAGCAGAAGAUAUACAACAAAGCUCACUGCAGCACCAAAUAUUCACAGAUCUUAGUACUCCACAAGUAUCCGAAAGGUCGACAAAUCAUUAAAAAGAAUUAAAACCCGGGGGUGGGGAGAUAAAGUUUUCAGUUGGUACUGAAAGGAUGACAACAGGGAUACCAGGUGAGCAUCUCUGGGGAGGCUAUUCCAUAACAAGGGUGCCACUAGUUGUCACCUGCUUCCAUUUAUUUGCUGUAGACAUCUGAAGGGACUCAGAAAAUGGCUUUAACUCCACAUAACUUUGAAAGAGAUGAUACUUCUGAAAAUCUGAUUAAAAGCCGUUUAGAAAUAUAAUGGUUAUUAAUAAUAUUUUGAAUUAGGCCUGGAAAUUGGCUGGAAUUGGAUCUGGAAAUCAUCUGAAUGACAAAGCACUGGCACAAUAUGAUUUUACCCAUGACAACCAUUUUGUGUUAUGUCAUGUCUCCUCAAUGGCGACCAUUUUGUGACUGGUGCCUCCAGCAUUCUCUCAAAAUUCAAAUGUGCCCAUUGGUGGCCUCUGCCUGAAGGCAUUCACAGGCUAGGGUCCUCUCUCUCUCUCUCUCUCUCUUUUUAAAAAAUAAUCUUUAUUGCUUUUAAAACUUAC
rnacentral:lncRNA from 1 species